UACGUAGGGGGCAAGCGUUGUCCGGAAUUAUUGGGCGUAAAGAGCGUGUAGGCGGUCCGGUAAGUCGGCUGUGAAAGUCCAGGGCUCAACCCUGGGAUGCCGGUCGAUACUGCCGGACUAGAGUUCGGAAGAGGCGAGUGGAAUUCCCGGUGUAGCGGUGAAAUGCGCAGAUAUCGGGAGGAACACCUAUGGCGAAGGCAGCUCGCUGGACGUUACUGACGCUGAGACGCGAAAGCGUGGGGGGAGCAAACAGGAUUAGAAACCCUCGGU
rnacentral:rRNA from 1 species